AUUUAUAAGAAUAUGAUGUUGGUUCAGAUUAAGCGCUAAAUAAGGACAUGACACAUGCGAAUCAUACGUUUAUUAUUGAUAAGAUAAUAAAUAUGUGGUGUAAACGUGAGUAAUUUUAUUAGGAAUUAAUGAACUAUAGAAUAAGCUAAAUACUUAAUAUAUUAUUAUAAAAAAAUAAUUUAUAUAAUAAAAAGGAUAUAUAUAUAAUAUAUAUUUAUCUAUAGUCAAGCCAAUAAUGGUUUAGGUAGUAGGUUUAUUAAGAGUUAAACCUAGCCAACGAUCCAUAAUCGAUAAUGAAAGUUAGAACGAUCACGUUGACUCUGAAAUAUAGUCAAUAUCUAUAAGAUACAGCAGUGAGGAAUAUUGGACAAUGAUCGAAAGAUUGAUCCAGUUACUUAUUAGGAUGAUAUAUAAAAAUAUUUUAUUUUAUUUAUAAAUAUUAAAUAUUUAUAAUAAUAAUAAUAAUAAUAUAUAUAUAUAAAUUGAUUAAAAAUAAAAUCCAUAAAUAAUUAAAAUAAUGAUAUUAAUUACCAUAUAUAUUUUUAUAUGGAUAUAUAUAUUAAUAAUAAUAUUAAUUUUAUUAUUAUUAAUAAUAUAUUUUAAUAGUCCUGACUAAUAUUUGUGCCAGCAGUCGCGGUAACACAAAGAGGGCGAGCGUUAAUCAUAAUGGUUUAAAGGAUCCGUAGAAUGAAUUAUAUAUUAUAAUUUAGAGUUAAUAAAAUUAAUUAAAGAAUUAUAAUAGUAAAGAUGAAAUAAUAAUAAUAAUUAUAAGACUAAUAUAUGUGAAAAUAUUAAUUAAAUAUUAACUGACAUUGAGGGAUUAAAACUAGAGUAGCGAAACGGAUUCGAUACCCGUGUAGUUCUAGUAGUAAACUAUGAAUACAAUUAUUUAUAAUAUAUAUUAUAUAUAAAUAAUAAAUGAAAAUGAAAGUAUUCCACCUGAAGAGUACGUUAGCAAUAAUGAAACUCAAAACAAUAGACGGUUACAGACUUAAGCAGUGGAGCAUGUUAUUUAAUUCGAUAAUCCACGACUAACCUUACCAUAUUUUGAAUAUUAUAAUAAUUAUUAUAAUUAUUAUAUUACAGGCGUUACAUUGUUGUCUUUAGUUCGUGCUGCAAAGUUUUAGAUUAAGUUCAUAAACGAACAAAACUCCAUAUAUAUAAUUUUAAUUAUAUAUAAUUUUAUAUUAUUUAUUAAUAUAAAGAAAGGAAUUAAGACAAAUCAUAAUGAUCCUUAUAAUAUGGGUAAUAGACGUGCUAUAAUAAAAUGAUAAUAAAAUUAUAUAAAAUAUAUUUAAUUAUAUUUAAUUAAUAAUAUAAAACAUUUUAAUUUUUAAUAUAUUUUUUUAUUAUAUAUUAAUAUGAAUUAUAAUCUGAAAUUCGAUUAUAUGAAAAAAGAAUUGCUAGUAAUACGUAAAUUAGUAUGUUACGGUGAAUAUUCUAACUGUUUCGCACUAAUCACUCAUCACGCGUUGAAACAUAUUAUUAUCUUAUUAUUUAUAUAAUAUUUUUUAAUAAAUAUUAAUAAUUAUUAAUUUAUAUUUAUUUAUAUCAGAAAUAAUAUGAAUUAAUGCGAAGUUGAAAUACAGUUACCGUAGGGGAACCUGCGGUGGGCUUAUAAAUAUC
rnacentral:ncRNA from 1 species